CUCAAAAAUAAUAUUUGGUUUUAUUAUUUUUGUGGAAAAUAUUAUUAAGUCGUGUGACUAUUUUGGAUGUUGUAUGAUUUUGGUUUGGUGUGGAAAUAUUGGAAUUAAGUGACUUAAUCUCAAUUUGGGACAAAAUACCUUUAUGAUUAAGUUUAUGAUUUUACAAAGGAAGUACAAGAAAUUGAAGCGAGAAAAUUAUGAUUUUUGAUUUGGAAAAUCGAGAUUGAUCUCACGAACGCGUAGGCGCAAACGGUUCGCGAAUCCGAGUUGAAAUGAAGAAGUUAUGCUCGAUUGAAGUUUUAGGGACUUAUUUGCAAAAACUAAACAGUGACAGAUUUUGGUUUAUAUUUUGUGGAGGGUUACUGUGCAAAUCAGAUUUCUCAUUUUGGUCCCCGGAGGUUUGAGAGCUCAUCGGAGAGGCGAUUUCCGACGGCUUCUGCGGCGGCGUACGGUGGAGGUGAUCGACACCACCAACCCAGAUAGAAAGCCUGCUAUCUUUUGAACAUAACCCAAGAAGAAUCGGAGCCAUAGGAGGUGUGGUGAAGGCAGGGCGACGCCUCGAA